CGUACACUCCUGCGGGAGGCAGCAGUGGGGAAUUUUGGACAAUGGGCGAAAGCCUGAUCCAGCCAUGCCGCGUGCAGGAUGAAGGCCUUCGGGUUGUAAACUGCUUUUGUACGGAACGAAACGGCCUUUUCUAAUAAAGAGGGCUAAUGACGGUACCGUAAGAAUAAGCACCGGCUAACUACGUGCCAGCAGCCGCGGUAAUACGUAGGGUGCAAGCGUUAAUCGGAAUUACUGGGCGUAAAGCGUGCGCAGGCGGUUAUGUAAGACAGUUGUGAAAUCCCCGGGCUCAACCUGGGAACUGCAUCUGUGACUGCAUAGCUAGAGUACGGUAGAGGGGGAUGGAAUUCCGCGUGUAGCAGUGAAAUGCGUAGAUAUGCGGAGGAACACCGAUGGCGAAGGCAAUCCCCUGGACCUGUACUGACGCUCAUGCACGAAAGCGUGGGGAGCAAACAGGAUUAGAAACCCGGGUAGUCCCA
rnacentral:rRNA from 1 species